UGCCAGCCGCCGCGGUAAUACGGAGGGUCCAAGCGUUAUCCGGAUUUAUUGGGUUUAAAGGGUGCGCAGGCGGAACUUUAAGUCAGUGGUGAAAUCUUGCCGCUUAACGGUAAAAUUGCCAUUGAUACUGAAGUUCUUGAAUGUAGUUGAGGUAGGCGGAAUGUGUUGUGUAGCGGUGAAAUGCAUAGAUUUCGGAAGGAACACCAGUGGCGAAGGCAGCUUACUAAGCUACGAUUGACGCUGAGGCACGAAAGCGUGGGGAGCGAACAGGAUUAGAUA
rnacentral:rRNA from 1 species